rnacentral:rRNA from 1 species
UACGUAGGGGGCGAGCGUUGUCCGGAAUCAUUGGGCGUAAAGCGCGUGUAGGCGGUCCGGUAAGUCCGCUGUGAAAGUCGGGGGCUCAACCCUCGGAUGCCGGUGGAUACUGUCGGGCUUGAGUACGGAAGAGGCGAGUGGAAUUCCUGGUGUAGCGGUGAAAUGCGCAGAUAUCAGGAGGAACACCAAUUGCGAAGGCAGCUCGCUGGGACGUUACUGACGCUGAGACGCGAAAGCGUGGGGAGCGAACAGG